rnacentral:tRNA from 1 species
GAGGGUAUAGCUCAAGUGGUAGAGUGCAUGCUUAGCACGCAUGAGGUCCUGGAUUCAAUCCCCAGUACCUCCA